UACGGAGGGGGCUAGCGUUGUUCGGAAUUACUGGGCGUAAAGCGCACGUAGGCGGACUAUUAAGUCAGGGGUGAAAUCCCGGGGCUCAACCCCGGAACUGCCUUUGAUACUGGUAGUCUCGAGUCCGGAAGAGGUGAGUGGAAUUCCGAGUGUAGAGGUGAAAUUCGUAGAUAUUCGGAGGAACACCAGUGGCGAAGGCGGCUCACUGGUCCGGUACUGACGCUGAGGUGCGAAAGCGUGGGGAGCA
rnacentral:rRNA from 1 species